AGCGCCAAUCUUUGAUGGAGCCCCAUAACCACUGGAAAAUGGUCUGAGUCGUCACCCACCGUCCUAACCCUAGUCUUAGCUCCAUCGUACAUGUCCUAAUGACUCUAAUGUAGGCUUCUCGUACGCUCUUCGCCUCCAAACACCUCCCUUGGGACCUUGUCGUACGCCUUCUCCAAGUCGAUAAGCACCAUGUGCAGGUCCUUCUUCUUUUCCCUGAACUGCUCCACCAGCCUCCUGACAAGGUGGAUAGCUUCUGUAAUGGAGCGACCCGGCAUGAAACCGAAUUGGUUCACAGAUAUAGAUGUCAUCUCCC
rnacentral:lncRNA from 1 species